UACGGGGGGGGCAAGCGUUGUUCGGAAUUACUGGGCGUAAAGGGCUCGUAGGCGGCCAACUAAGUCAGACGUGAAAUCCCUCGGCUCAACCGGGGAACUGCGUCUGAUACUGGAUGGCUUGAAUCCGGGAGAGGGAUGCGGAAUUCCAGGUGUAGCGGUGAAAUGCGUAGAUAUCUGGAGGAACACCGGUGGCGAAGGCGGCAUCCUGGACCGGUAUUGACGCUGAGGAGCGAAAGCCAGGGGAGCAAACGGG
rnacentral:rRNA from 1 species